rnacentral:hammerhead_ribozyme from 1 species
AUCCAGCUGAAGAGUCCUAAAUAAGAUCAGACGCACGUCCUGGAU